rnacentral:rRNA from 1 species
UACGUAGGGCGCAAGCGUUGUCCGGAAUUAUUGGGCGUAAAGAGCUCGUAGGCGGCCUGUUGCGUCCGCUGUGAAAGCCCGGGGCUUAACCCCGGGUCGGCAGUGGAUACGGGCAGGCUAGAGGUAGGUAGGGGAGAAUGGAAUUCCCGGUGUAGCGGUGAAAUGCGCAGAUAUCGGGAGGAACACCGAUGGCGAAGGCGGUUCUCUGGGCCUUACCUGACGCUGAGGAGCGAAAGCGUGGGGAGCGAACAGG